AUAAAAGCAUAUAUUCAGAUUUAAAGGUAUAUUAAAGAUCAUUCAGUUCAAAAGAAUCCUAAUCUUUGAUUUACAUUGGAUUAGCAUUAAGGAAAGAAACCUCUCCCAUAAGCUUAUGUGAAAGAAAUCUUGUUUUCAAGGCUGAGGAAAAUAGGUUAAUACCCCUAUAAGAAAACCACAAAAUCUUGAAUUUUAACAUCUAAUUUCUUGACAAAAAGUACACCUAUGGUUGAUGGAUUUUUGUGAUAGUAUAACAGUUGCUGUAUUAUUCUUUUCAGUUGGAAAUUUCAGAAACAGAGGAAGAGACAAAUGCAAGAGGCACAUUAUGUGACCAUUAAUAAUAAUAAUCACAACAGCAACAACAUAUAUUUAGCACUUCAAGGUUUGCAAAAUACUUAACACAGAUUGUGUCAUUUAUCUCUUCUUGAAGUCUUGUGAGGGUCUUCUUGGGAACCCUGCUUUAACCAUGCCCCAGGCCAUCCACUUCCUGACCUCUUUAUUCUUCCCAAGGCAGCCUCAACCAGGUGUAGUGGAGAGAGCAGCAGAUUAAGAAUCAGAGGAGUUCCUGGCUUCAGAUCCCAGCUCUAUGACUUAGGCAAGUCAUUUAACUUUUCUAGGCCUUGUUUUGCUGAUCUAUCAAAUAAAGAAGUUCAUUAGAUGAACUUUAAAUGUUUCUCUUAGUUUUACACUUCUGAUUCACAUUAAAAUUUUCUCUAUCCUCUCUUGGAAACAGGAAAACUAUCUUUAAGAACAAUAUUAAUUUAUCCCAACAUAUUCAUGGGAUUUGUUGUGAUCAAUGUGAGUCAAGCAUGAUACCUGGUACAUAGAAGAUGUCAAAUAAAUACUUGAUUGAUUAAUUAAUACA
rnacentral:lncRNA from 1 species